AUUGAACGCUGGCGGCAGGCCUAACACAUGCAAGUCGAACGAGUGGCGGACGGGUGAGUAAUGUCUGGGAAACUGCCCGAUGGAGGGGGAUAACUACUGGAAAAGGUAGCUAAUACCGCAUACCAUCGGAUGUGCACAGAUGGGCUUAGCUUGUAGGUGAGGUAACGGCUUACCUAGGCGACGAUCCCUAGCUGGUCUGAGAGGAUGACCAGCCAAACGGGAACUGAGACAGGGUCCAGACGCCUACGGGAGGCAGCAGUGGGGAAUAUUGCACAAUGGGCGAAAGCCUGAUGUAGCCAUGCCGCGUGUAGGAAGAAGGUCUUCGGGUUGUAAAGGACUUUCAGCGGGGAGGCGUUACCCGCAGAAGAAGCACCGGCUAACUCCGUGCCAGCAGCCGCGGUAAUUC
rnacentral:rRNA from 1 species